ensembl:lncRNA
GUGGAUGGGAGUAUUCUACCUUAUCUGGGGCAUGAAGAGUUAAAUGUGAGUGCUCCAUAGAUUGGAGAGAAUAUAAAACAUACCCCAACAUUUAUUUUUUUUCACUCUUCUCAAAUUUCAGUCUCAUGACCUGUGGAAGUUUACUUGACAUCCAGUACAGUAGGUGGCGAUAAUGCUCCGGAGUUAUUCGCCAUUAAACAAGAAGAAGAAGAAGAAGAAGAAGAAGGAGGAGGAGGAGAGACAUCAGGAGAUUAGUGCUAUUUGUAUUUAGCAAAAACAGUCUGCUGGAUACUUUACGUCUCUGAUCAAGCUGAAUCUGUAAGUUAUCAUGUCUAAACACAGGACGAAAAAGCUCAUCAUUGAAGAUGGUAUGUGUUAACCUACUGGUCUUUUGCUCUUUCUAUACUGCAUCAUGAUUAUAAUGCAGCACUAGCUGUCUGUCUUGAAUAUGUAUCAUAGGUUUUUAUAUUAAAACAUUCUGGGCUUGAAAUCUUCAUUUUUAAUGUCCUGUACAAAUUUACUUUCAGAUGAGCCAAAGCAAGAUGAGCUGAAUCCAUUUUCUUUCAAGGAGUUCGUCCGAUACAAGAACCAGCAGUCUUGUACUACAGAAGCCACAGAGGUGUGUGGUGGAGCAUUCAACGUCGAACAGGAUUAUAAUACCUCCAUAGAUUUUGCCACGAAGGGGCCGUUCUUCUCAGACCCGUCUGCGCUCUGUCAGCCUUCUGAAAACGAACCUGAGGAAACAUGGAUUGAAAGCUGCCACCCAUCAGCCCUUGAUGGUUCUCAUGACUUCGAACUAUCUGGUACUUUAGACCUCGGUGCUUUCUCUGAGCAGUCAUCUCUCUGCAGUGAUGAGAGGGGAGCACAUGUAACUGAAUGGGAACUGUGUAAUUCUGACUUCCUGCCAAAGAGCCACUUAGCUAGAAGAAGCACAGGAAGCUAUGAGGGUGAUGAAGAGACUUCAGUGAUUGACAUUUCCUUCCAUCCGAAGAGGAGUAAUGCUGAAAAUGGCACAAAGAAUCCCCAACAGGUAUGUUGUGUGAAUUGUGAAUGGUGUGGGGUUUUGUAUAUACAUGAGCCAAUUGUUAUAUUAUAA